rnacentral:rRNA from 1 species
AGAGUUUGAUCCUGGCUCAGGAUGAACGCUAGCGGCAGGCCUAACACAUGCAAGUCGAGGGGUAAUCCCGCUUUCGGGCGGGAACGACCGGCGCACGGGUGAGUAACGCGUAUGCAACCUACCUUUAACUGGGGGAUAGCCCGAAGAAAUUCGGAUUAAUACCCCAUAUAACUAUAGAUAAGCAUUUAUUUAUAUUAAAAACUCCGGUGGUUAAAGAUGGGCAUGCGUAACAUUAGUUAGUUGGUGAGGUAACGGCUCACCAAGACUACGAUGUUUAGGGGGCCUGAGAGGGUGGUCCCCCACACUGGUACUGAGACACGGACCAGACUCCUACGGGAGGCAGCAGUGAGGAAUAUUGCGCAAUGGAGGCAACUCUGACGCAGCCAUGCCGCGUGCAGGAUGACGGCCCUACGGGUUGUAAACUGCUUUUAUACAGGAAGAACUUUCCGCACGUGUGCGGGAUUGACGGUACUGUACGAAUAAGCACCGGCUAACUCCGUGCCAGCAGCCGCGGUAAUACGGAGGGUGCAAGCGUUAUCCGGAUUUAUUGGGUUUAAAGGGUGCGUAGGCGGGAUAAUAAGUCAGUGGUGAAAUACUGCAGCUCAACUGUAGAACUGCCAUUGAUACUGUUAUUCUUGAGUUCGAUUGAGGUAGGCGGAAUGUGUAAUGUAGCGGUGAAAUGCUUAGAUAUUACACAGAACACCGAUUGCGUAGGCAGCUUACUAAGUCGACACUGACGCUGAGGCACGAAAGCGUGGGGAGCGAACAGGAUUAGAUACCCUGGUAGUCCACGCUGUAAACUAUGAUCACUAGCUGUUGGCGAUACAUCGAUCAGCGGCAAAGCGAAAGCAUUAAGUGAUCCACCUGGGGAGUACGGUCGCAAGAUUGAAACUCAAAGGAAUUGACGGGGGCCCGCGCAAGCGGUGGAACAUGUGGUUUAAUUCGAUGAUACGCGAGGAACCUUACCUGGGCUUAAAUGCAGAUUGACGUUUCGGGAAACCGGAAUUCUCUUCGGAGCGAUUUGCAAGGUGCUGCAUGGUUGUCGUCAGCUCGUGCCGUGAGGUGUCGGGUUAAGUCCCAUAACGAGCGCAACCCCUAUCGUUAGUUGCCAGCGGAUAAUGCCGGGGACUCUAACGAAACUGCCGGUGGAAACCGAGAGGAAGGUGGGGAUGACGUCAAAUCAGCACGGCCCUUAUGUCCAGGGCUACACACGUGUUACAAUGGUCGGUACAGAGGGCAGCUACCUGGUGACAGGAUGCUAAUCUCGAAAGCCGGUCUUAGUUCGGAUCGAAGUCUGCAACUCGACUUCGUGAAGCUGGAAUCGCUAGUAAUCGCGUAUCAGCAACGACGCGGUGAAUACGUUCCCGGGCCUUGUACACACCGCCCGUCAAGCCAUGGAAGCUGGGGGUACCUGAAGUCUGUAACCGCAAGGAGCGGCCUAGGGUAAAACUAGUGACUGGGGCUAAGUCGUAACAAGGUA